rnacentral:rRNA from 1 species
UACGGGGGGGGCAAGCGUUGUUCGGAAUUACUGGGCGUAAAGGGCUCGUAGGCGGCCAACUAAGUCACACGUGAAAUCCCUCGGCUCAACCGGGGAACUGCGUGUGAGACUGGAUGGCUUGAGUUUGGGAGAGGAAUGCGGAAUUCCAGGUGUAGCGGUGAAAUGCGUAGAUAUCAGGAAGAACACCCGUGGCGAAGGCGGCUCUCUGGGACGGUACUGACGCUGAGACGCGAAAGCGUGGGAGCGAACAGG